GACGAACGCUGGCGGCGUGCCUAAUACAUGCAAGUAGAACGCUGGAGGAGGAGCUUGCUUCUCUGGAUGAGUUGCGAACGGGUGAGUAACGCGUAGGUAACCUGCCUGGUAGCGGGGGAUAACUAUUGGAAACGAUAGCUAAUACCGCAUAAUAUUGACUAUUGCAUGAUAGUCAGUUGAAAGGUGCAACUGCACCACUACCAGAUGGACCUGCGUUGUAUUAGCUAGUUGGUGGGGUAACGGCUCACCAAGGCGACGAUACAUGGCCGACCUGAGAGGGUGAUCGGCCACACUGGGACUGAGACACGGCCCAGACUCCUACGGGAGGCAGCAGUAGGGAAUCUUCGGCAAUGGACGGAAGUCUGACCGAGCAACGCCGCGUGAGUGAAGAAGGUUUUCGGAUCGUAAAGCUCUGUUGUAAGAGAAGAACGAGUGUGAGAGUGGAAAGCUCACACUGUGACGGUAUCUUACCAGAAAGGGACGGCUAACUACGUG
rnacentral:rRNA from 1 species